UUUUCUCUCUUUCAUCCUUAGAAGUCAAAGGUCGAGAGAGAGAACGGGCCAGCAGGAGAGUGGGCUAACGCUAAGCCUAAGUUAGAGAGAGAAAGAGGAGAAAUAGAGAGAGCUUGGGAAUAAAGAAAAAAAAAAAAAAACUGUUUUCAGUUUACUGAAAAAAACAGUGAAGCUCGAAGCUUCGAGGAUCUGGGACGGGAACCAAUGGCAUCCUCGGAGAAAGACCUCGAAGAACAGCUUAAUGAAGCUGGGGAGAUACUUCUUAAUCAUCUUCCUUCUGAUGUUGAUGAACUCCUCCCUCUUUUGGACCAAGUUGAGAACUUCCUAUCAAGGGUAGAACAGUCGCCAUCAAAAUCAAUGCAAGAUGCACUUUGCUCCUCAAUGAAGGCACUGGUUGCUGUUGAUCUGCUUAGGCAUUCAGAUAUGGAUGUGAAGGUUGCAGUUGCAUCUUGCAUAAGUGAGAUCACUAGAAUAACAGCGCCAGAAGCUCCUUACGAAGAUGAACAAAUGAAGGAAAUAUUUCAGUUGAUUGUUGGUGCAUUUGAGAAAUUGUUUGAUACUUCUAGUCGUUCAUAUUCGAAGAGAGUUUCAAUUCUUGAAACUGUGGCAAAGGUUCGAUCUUGUGUUGUGAUGUUGGACCUUGAAUGUGAUGCUCUGAUUCUUGAGAUGUUCCAGCAUUUCCUGAAAGCUAUAAGGGAUGCUCACCCAGAAAAUGUAUUUUCCGCGAUGGAGACAAUUAUGACCCUUGUGUUAGAGGAAAGUGAAGAUAUCUCAUCGGAGCUUCUUUCUUCCCUCCUAAGUAGUGUCAAAAAGGAGAAUCAAGAUGUUUUGCCUAUUGCACAAAAACUGGGAAAGAAAGUAAUUGAAAAUUGUGCUUCUAAGCUUAAACCAUACAUGAUUCAAGCAGGCAUUUCUUUUAAUGACUACUGUGACAUUGUGGCCUCUAUAUGCCAAGAAACAUCUGAUGCUGCUGAACAAAAUGAAGCCAAUGUAUUAGGCGAAGUUCCGGCAGAUGGGGCCAAAUUGUCAGAGAAGCCAAGUGCAGAUGAGCCACCCCAGGUGGUUAAUGAACUCCCACCAGAAACGGCCGGUUCUGGAUCAGUGGAUCCUGCUGUGGAUAAAUCACCAAAAUCAGUGAUGAGCAAUGGUAAUGCUCAAACUGGAAAUGAGGACUCCUUAAUAGAUCCAAGUUCUCCCAAAAAGAAGCCUGAGCGUUCUCGUCGUUCUAAUCAACCCAAAAGCACUGAUGGAGCAGCCAAGACUGAACCUGAUAGUUUGGAACCUGAGAAGGUAGUCAGACCAGAGAAAAGGCCAGAUCAAGCUACGAAGAAAACAAGGGGUAGGAAACCUAGUUCUUGUUCUCGGAUUGAUCAUGAAAAAGGAUCUGUAGAACAGCCUGAUCGGAGGAAGAGUCGCACAAAAGAAGCUGGUAGUGCAACUUCUGAAGGCCCUUCUAGCAUGGAGGUGGCUGUUUCAUCUGAACUCGAAAAGGAGAGUCAGGCACAGGCUUCCUCUCCAACAGCAUCACCUAGUGAGGCAAUGAAUGUUGUUUCAUCACCAACUCAGACCCAUACUGAUGGAACUCCCUCCAAGAAGGGACGGCGUGGGCCUAAGAAGAAAGGAAGCAGGAAACAUGAAGCUGAGCAUGGUUCAACAUCAAAGGGAGCUUUAUUGAGUGAUCAUGGUGAGGAUGAAGCUCAACCUGCUUCAGCUGUUAGCUCCAAGAAGGAAUCAGAGGGCAUGAGUGAUUCUGAAGCAAAGGCACAUAAGCGCACAGGGAAAAAAACACUUUCUGGUAAUGCCAAUGAGAAAAGCCCUACUCCAUUUGAUGUUGUCCCAAAGAAGGAAGCUGGAGCUGGAGCCACAAGUGAUUCAGAUGUGAUGUUACUGAGGAAGUCUGGCAAGAAGAUAGAUGGCAAAAAUGCCAACGAGGAUGAGUCAUCAGGAAAACAACAGGAUGAUAAGAAAAGGAGGAGCAGGGGAAAAACUAUCUCCAAUAAGAAUGUGGUUGAAGAAUCAAGUAAGAAGGUCACAGCUUCUUCACCUAAGUCUGCCACAAGGUCAUCUAAUAAAGAUGAAAGUAAAGUGGAGAACACCCCUAAGACAUCUUCCAAGAGAAAGCGUACUCCAGGGAAGGAAGAGGAUGGUGAGAAUCUGGUUGGUUCCAGGAUCAAGGUUUAUUGGCCAAAAGAUCGAAUAUAUUACGUAGGUGCUGUGUCAUCUUUUGACCCUGUUAAAAUGAAGCACACGGUUUCUUAUGAUGAUGGGGAUAAGGAGAUAUUGACACUUAGCAAGGAGAAGUGGCAGUUUGUUAAAGAAGAUGAAAUGGCAGAUGGGGGACAAGAAACUGAUACGCCAAGUGCUGAAACUGAUCCUCCAAGUCCUGAUACUUCUUCUGAUGUGCACCGAAAGAAGAAAGCAAAAAUGAAUUCAGAUUCGUCAACCAAGCAAGGAAAGCCAGAUGCUUCUGCUAAAAGGGCUAGUGGAGUUUCGACCAGCAAAUCCAAAAUUGAAAUUACAAAGUCUGGUGGUAAAUCCAAGGAUGUUAGACUCAGUGGCAAGUCCAAAGAUGACAGCCCUAAAAUUGUCAACAAAGCCAAGGUUGAAACACCUAAAACUGGCAGCAAAUCGAAAGAUGAUGUCCGGAAGUCAGGAAGCAAAUUAAAGGAUGACACGUCCAAGAUGAAGUCGAAGGAUGAAACGACCAAAACAAGCGCCAAGUCUAGGGGUGAAACCCCAAAAACUGGUGGCAAGACCAGUUCUAAUGGUACUACUGCGAAAGGGAAAUCCAGUUCAUUGAAGCUACAAGAAAAUGAAGAUUCUGUGAAAGUGAAAUCAGAUUCUGCAAAGGCACAAGAAAGAGAGACAAAAAGUGGGAAGAAGCGAGGAAGGAGGUAACUGAGACCGAUCUGAUUCGUGAGGGAAACUGAUUAUUUUUUUCCCCAGUGUUUCUUAAGGAGAAUUGAAAACGUCUCUUGGGAGGUGGAAUCUAGUCCUGCUUUGCCGCUGCUGCUGCUGCUGCUUCCAGUUAUGGAAAUGAAAAAUUUGCGUGAAUCGGUCUUUUCGCGGCUUAUUAUGCCCUGGGCCGACGAUGUCAUUAAGUGCAGGUGGUCCCAAGUUUCUAGUUGGUUGGAUGUGUAUUGUGGUUUGAUCUAUAAAUGAGACCUCUGGUGGUUGCCAUGAGGUGUGCCUCUGCGUUAAUCAUUGGGUUGGUCCCGUUCUCCCAAUGGUUUCAGAACUGAUAGACCAAUUAAGCACUGGUGGAACUAGAAUUGUUCCUUGACAGAUCUUGUCUGCUUCUUCUUGUUUCAGCAACUAUAUUCUCUUUUGCCUAGGUUUUGGGUUACUCUAUUAUUCUCUUAUCUGAAAUUCCAAUCAACUAAAUUA